AAAGUCGUAACAAGGUCUCCGUUGGUGAACCAGCGGAGGGAUCAUUACCGAGUUUCCAACUCACAACCCAUCGUGAACAUACCAAUGUUGCUUCGGCGGCCCCAAGGCCCCCGCCGGCCGGCCGGCCGCCGAAGGUACCAAACUCUCUGUUUUCCAAUUGUGGUUAAUUCUGAGCGAAUCUUGAAAUAAAUCAAAACCUUCAACAACGGAUCUCUUGGCUCUG
rnacentral:misc_RNA from 1 species